rnacentral:piRNA from 1 species
UUAUCUCCAGAUACAGACAGGCACUC